GACGAACCGAGCGAACGUUGUUCGGAAUCACUGGGCUUAAAGGGCGCGUAGGCGGGCUGUCAAGUCUGGGGUGAAAUCCCGCGGCUCAACCGUGGAACUGCCUCAGAUACUGACGGUCUCGAGGGAGGUAGGGGCGAGCGGAACUGAUGGUGGAGCGGUGAAAUGCGUUGAUAUCAUCAGGAACUCCGGUGGCGAAGGCGGCUCGCUGGACCUUUUCUGACGCUGAGGCGCGAAAGCUAGGGGAGCAAACGGG
rnacentral:ncRNA from 2 species